rnacentral:tRNA from 3 species
GCGGGCGUGGUGGAAUUGGUAGACACACUGGAUUUAGGUUCCAGCGCCGCAAGGCGUGAGAGUUCGAGUCUCUCCGUCCGCACCA